ensembl:lncRNA
CAGGAAACUAAACAUAUAUUUAUCAUCAGAAUGCAACCUCAAAAGGUGUGACUCAUAAUGACGUUAAGGUCUAGAACCUUGGCAGACCAAAGAAUCUGCACUGCUCCUGAGAAAGCUGGCCAUAGAGAAGAAUAGGGAUGUGGGCCUGAGUGAGCUGUGACUCAUCCUGGGUGCACCUCUCCCAAUGCUGGGCACCCCUCUACAGGCUGAAGAAAUCUCCAACUUCCAUUCCAUCUUCUGAGAGUCCUGAGAGGCACAGCAUGGGGCUGGGGCUUUUCUUUGGAUUAUGUUGGGAUGUUUACCUUCAUCUUUUCGUUAUUCUCAUUUUUCAUAAGCCUCAAAUUACCUAGCUCGCUCACGUACUGAGCACGUUUGCAUGCUGUUACAUCCACUUCAACAGCUUAAUAAUGGCACAACAUUUCACUGGGUGUUGUCACCCGUGCCACCAACAAAGGGCUCCUCCUGCCUGGUUUCUCUGGCUUUCCGGGACCUGCAUAGUCUUCAUGCAGGGCUGGCAGUUUGUUGGACACUCAGCUUGGUGCAAGGAGAUCACCAGCCUUACUCUCCUGCUGCCACGAGUGAAUUCCCUGAAACAAUUGAUUGUACUCCGAAAUUGUGAGCCAAAAAUUAAACUCUUCCUCCUGUAA